UGUAGGAGCUGCCGCAGGCUGCGAUCUUUUGAGGUUGUUUUUGCAGAUCAAAAGAUCGCAGCCUGCGGCAGCUCCUACA
rnacentral:misc_RNA from 1 species